GAAAAGCACUCUGAAGAGAGAGUCAAAAGACCGUGAAACCGCUCAGAGUAUAAGCCAAUGGAGCUUGGAAGGCUACCGCAGAUGGUGUCCAUCAUACGUGGUGUUCUUAAGACCUUGAGUGUGGCUCGUCAGGCGUAGCAUUAAGUUUGCCAGGUUAGCUGUCGUGCGGGGGGUUCGGCUUGGAGGACUUCGGCUUCGGCCGAAGGGCUCUUCGGGUCGUCCCCUUUUGAAUGGACGUUCAGAGCUCUUGUGUCUAAUGCGGUUAUGCCCACCACAGCACGUUGUGAGGUCACCCACAGGCUCAAACUGCCGAUCGCGUAUCCAGGACGAUGGCAACGAUGCGUUGUUGAUGAUGGCUCCAGAGAGAGACCUCACUCACACGCGUGUCUAGUCCUGGGUCGGGCGGCGACCGAGAUAAACCUGGUAUGAUCCUCUUGCGACGAGCUGCUUUCUGGCCAGACCGACGCCCGGGCGCCUCCACUGUGCCGGAAGCGCCAACCCCAGGCGGUGUGAACCCAGCUGCAUUUUGUAAGGUCUCUCAGCCGGGCGUUGGUCUGAGUGGUGUUAAGUCCAGCACCAUCGGUCACGUCUCGAAACACGGGCCAAGGAGUAUAGCAUGUGUGCAAGUCUAAGGGUCUCACAAAACCCGAAGGCGAAGUGAAAGCAAGACCGUGGCGGGGGAGCUACGGCAAACCCGCCGGCCUAGUGGCGCGUGCGUCGCCUGGCUUUUGGCAGAGCUGAUCCUGUUUUCUCGGUUAAUUCUUGGUGCAGGCGCAAGCUCCGGGCUCACGUACAACACUGGUCACGCCUCGCGCGUGGCUGUGUUGUGAGCACCGUGGAGCAUGCAUGCUAUGACCCGAAAGAUAGUGAACUAUGCCUGGCGAGGGCGAAGCCCCAGGAAACUGGGGUGGAGGCCCGUAGCCGUUGUGACGUGCAAAUCCAUGGUAUCAGCUGGGCAUAGGGGCGAAAGACCAAUCGAACUAUCUAGUAGCU
rnacentral:rRNA from 1 species